AUUGAACGCUGGCGGCAUGCCUAACACAUGCAAGUCGAACGGCAGCAUAGCUUGUGCUUGCACAAGCGGAUGGCGAGUGGCGGACGGGUGAGUAAAGCGCAGGAAUAUAUAUCAGAGAGAGGGAUAACUUGAGGAAACUUAAGCUAAUACCGCAUAAUCUCUAAGGAGGAAAGCUGGGGACCGCAAGGCCUGGCACUUUGAGGAUAGCUUGCGUGCGAUUAGCUAGUUGGGGGGGUAAAAGCCCACCAAGGCGACGAUCGGUAGCUGGUCUGAGAGGAUGGACCGCCACACUGGGACUGAGACACGGCCCAGACUCCUACGGGAGGCAGCAGUGGGGAAUAUUGGACAAUGGGGGCAACCCUGAUCCAGCAAUGCCGCGUGUGUGAAGAAGGCCUGAGGGUUGUAAAGCACUUUUAGUGGGGAGGAGGAUGAGAGUGUUAAGAGCUAACUUAUUGGAUGUUACCCACAGAAAAAGCACCGGCUAACUCCGUGCCAGCAGCCGCGGUAA
rnacentral:rRNA from 1 species